CGCGGGGUGGAGCAGUCUGGUAGCUCGUUGGGCUCAUAACCCAAAGGUCGUAGGUUCAAAUCCUACCCCCGCCACCA
rnacentral:tRNA from 1 species